CCUACGGGAGGCAGCAGUGGGGAAUUUUGGACAAUGGGCGAAAGCCUGAUCCAGCAAUGCCGCGUGAGUGAAGAAGGCCUUCGGGUUGUAAAGCUCUUUUGUCAGGGAAGAAACGGUGAGAGCUAAUAUCUCUUGCUAAUGACGGUACCUGAAGAAUAAGCACCGGCUAACUACGUGCCAGCAGCCGCGGUAAUACGUAGGGUGCAAGCGUUAAUCGGAAUUACUGGGCGUAAAGCGUGCGCAGGCGGUUUUGUAAGUCUGAUGUGAAAUCCCCGGGCUCAACCUGGGAAUUGCAUUGGAGACUGCAAGGCUAGAAUCUGGCAGAGGGGGGUAGAAUUCCACGUGUAGCAGUGAAAUGCGUAGAUAUGUGGAGGAACACCGAUGGCGAAGGCAGCCCCCUGGGUCAAGAUUGACGCUCAUGCACGAAAGCGUGGGGAGCAAACAGGUAUUAGAUACCCUGGUAGUCCACGCCCUAAACGAUGUCUACUAGUUGUCGGGUCUUAAUUGACUUGGUAACGCAGCUAACGCGUGAAGUAGACCGCCUGGGGAGUACGGUCGCAAGAUUAAAACGUCAAAUGAAUUGACCCGGNGUAGAGACGNGCGACGGACGACGACGAGGGAGGAGG
rnacentral:rRNA from 1 species